rnacentral:rRNA from 1 species
AACGCUGGCGGCGUGCCUAACACAUGCAAGUCGAACGAGAAAGUGGAGCAAUCCAUGAGUAAAGUGGCGACCGGGUGAGUAACACGUGACUAACCUACCUCCGAGUGGGGAAUAACUCCGGGAAACCGGGGCUAAUACCGCAUAACAUCGCAAGAUCAAAGCAGCAAUGCGCUUGGAGAGGGGGUCGCGGCUGGUUAGCUAGUUGGCGGGGUAACGGCCCACCAAGGCGAAGAUCGGUAUCCGGCCUGAGAGGGCGCACGGACACACUGGAACUGAAACACGGUCCAGACUCCUACGGGAGGCAGCAGUGGGGAAUUUUGCGCAAUGGGGGAAACCCUGACGCAGCAACGCCGCGUGGAGGAUGAAGCCCUUUGGGGCGUAAACUCCUUUCGACCAAGACGAUAAUGACGGUACUGGUGGAAGAAGCACCGGCUA